UACGUAGGGUGCAAGCGUUGUCCGGAAUCACUGGGCGUAAAGGGUGCGUAGGCGGGUCUUUAAGUCAGGGGGGAAAUCCUGGAGCUCAACUCCAGAACUGCCUUUGAUACUGAAGAUCUUGAGUUCGGGAGAGGUGAGUGGAACUGCGAGUGUAGAGGUGAAAUUCGUAGAUAUUCGCAAGAACACCAGUGGCGAAGGCGGCUCACUGGCCCGAUACUGACGCUGAGACGCGAAAGCGUGGGGAGCGAACAGG
rnacentral:rRNA from 1 species